rnacentral:rRNA from 1 species
GGUCUAUCUGCAGUUGAGCGCUGAGGUUGGUACUUGUACCGACUGGAUGAGCAGCGAACGGGUGAGUAACGCGUGGGGAAUCUGCCUUUGAGCGGGGGACAACAUUUGGAAACGAAUGCUAAUACCGCAUAAAAACUUUAAACACAAGUUUUAAGUUUGAAAGAUGCAAUUGCAUCACUCAAAGAUGAUCCCGCGUUGUAUUAGCUAGUUGGUGAGGUAAAGGCUCACCAAGGCGAUGAUACAUAGCCGACCUGAGAGGGUGAUCGGCCACAUUGGGACUGAGACACGGCCCAAACUCCUACGGGAGGCAGCAGUAGG